AAAACUCACUCUCUCUCCAAACCGUCUUCAAAAUCCUUCUCCGUGUACUACAGGUUGCUUCGCUUGAUAUCAACAAACUUAAAUUGUUUCAGCUUCUAAAAAGAACGACGUACAUCUUACAGCGCUGGCUGUGCUGCGGGUUAAAAAUAUCAGACCGAAUAACUCACGCCAGGACUAGUUAAUAUGUGCAAUCGACUGUUCUUCGACAGAAACUAAAUCAGCGAUGCACUGCACGUCACCUUGGCCAACUUCAUUUCCAUGCAGAGGACCUGUUGUCAUGUAAGCAAGCACAGAGAGCAGGACAAGCCUCCAUGUCAUCUUGGACAGAGUCCUCUGGUAUCUAGGUGUCUAGGUAAGAUUCUUCCAGCUUCUGUCUUUCUAUGAAGCCAACAAUGGUGUCUUUCGGAUUCACCUGAAGAGCUUCAUGAGGCACAGGAUUUUCAUGUUGUGAAAUCUCCCAACUAUGGUUGCUUGGCGAAAACAAACUUGCUGCCUGCUGAAGAUGUCUACAUUCUGACCUACAGCUGAUCAAACAUUUCUACAGGUGAUCGAUGUGAGGAGGGAGUUAUUUCACUCCUUGCUCAGUCCACGAAGGAAUAAGAGGGGCUGAGUGUCGCUCAGUGGUGAGAGCUGAACGGGACAAAGACCUGUUUGUGCCUGACUUGUACAAACCCAGAUUUACCAGAAACCCACUCAGACCUACAGUCAUCAGUGAGUGGAGUGCACCCAAAG